rnacentral:rRNA from 1 species
GCCGCGAAUUCGCCCUUAGGGUUUGAUCAUGGCUCAGAACGAACGCUGGCGGCAUGCCUAACACAUGCAAGUCGAACGGGGGAAGCAAUUCCCUAGUGGCGGACGGGUGGGUAAUACUUAGGAAUCUACCUUAAAGUGGGGGAUAGCUGUUAGAAAUGACAGGUAAUACCGCAUGUGCCCUACGGGGGAAAGGAUUUAUUCGCUUUAAGAUGAGCCUAAGCUCGAUUAGCUAGUUGGUAGGGUAAAAGCCUACCAAGGCUGUGAUCGAUAGCUGUUCUAAGAGGAAGAUCAGCCACAUUGGGACUGAGACACGGCCCAGACUCCUACGGGAGGCAGCAGUGAGGAAUAUUGGACAAUGGGGGAAACCCUGAUCCAGCAAUGCCGCGUGAGUGAAGAAGGCCUUCGGGUUGUAAAGCUCUUUUACAGGUGAAGAUAAUGACGGUAACCUGAGAAUAAGCCCCGGCUAACCUCGUGCCAGCAGCCGCGGUAAUACGAGGGGGGCUAGCGUUGUUCGGAAUUACUGGGCGUAAAGGGUGCGUAGGUUGUUUAGUAAGUUAGGUGUGAAAUCCUC